rnacentral:rRNA from 1 species
GGCUAACGCUGGCGGCGUGUCUUAGCCAUGCAAGUCGAGCGGACUUAUGGGGUAACUUAUAAGUCAGCGGCGGACGGCGGAGUAACACGUAGCUAACCUACCCUCUGGACGGGGAUAACCUACCGAAAGGUGGGCUAAUACCCGAUGUAGUCAUCCUGUAUAGGGGUGAUGAAAGGUGGGCUUCUGUUUACAAGCUCAUGCUGGAGGAGGGGGCUGCGGCCUAUCAGGUAGUUGGUAGGGUAAUAGCCUACCAAGCCGAUGACGGGUAGCCGGCCUGAGAGGGUGACCGGCCCGAGGGGGCACUGAGAUACGGGUCCCACUCCUACGGGAGGCAGCAGGCUAGAAAUUUGGGCAAUGGGGGAAACCCUGACCCAGUGACGCCGCGUGCAGGAAGGAGCCCUUCGGGGUGUAAACUGCUGUCGUGUAGGGAGAAGGGUACUAAGGUGAACAAUCUUAGUACUUGACGGUACUACAGGAGGAAGCCCAGGCUAACCUCGUG